AUUGAACGCUGGCGGCAUGCCUUACACAUGCAAGUCGAACGGCAGCACGGGAGCAAUCCUGGUGGCGAGUGGCGAACGGGUGAGUAAUAUAUCGGAACGUGCCCAGUGAUGGGGGAUAGCCCGGCGAAAGCCGGAUUAAUACCGCAUACGACCUACGGGUGAAAGCAGGGGAUCGCAAGACCUUGCGUCAUUGGAGCGGCCGAUAUCAGAUUAGCUGUUGGUGGGUAAAAGCCUACCAAGGCGACGAUCUGUAGCUGGCCUGAGAGGACGACCAGCCACACUGGGACUGAGACACGGCCCAGACUCCUACGGGAGGCAGCAGUGGGGAAUUUUGGACAAUGGGCGCAAGCCUGAUCCAGCCAUGCCGCGUGCGGGAAGAAGGCC
rnacentral:rRNA from 1 species